CACGUAGGGCGCGAGCGUUGUCCGGAAUUAUUGGGCGUAAAGAGCUCGUAGGUGGUUUGUUACGUCUGCUGUGAAAACCUAGGGCUUAACCCUGGGCCUGCAGUGGAUACGGGCAGACUAGAGGUAGGUAGGGGAGAAUGGAAUUCCCGGUGUAGCGGUGAAAUGCGCAGAUAUCGGGAGGAACACCGGUGGCGAAGGCGGUUCUCUGGGCCUUACCUGACACUGAGGAGCGAAAGCGUGGGGAGCGAACAGG
rnacentral:rRNA from 1 species